GAUUGUGGUUCAGUGGUAGAGCACUCGCCUAACACGAGUGAGGCACUGGGUUCGUUCCUCAGCACUACA
rnacentral:tRNA from 1 species